AGAGUUUGAUCAUGGCUCAGAUUGAACGCUGGCGGCAUGCCUUACACAUGCAAGUCGAACGGUAGAGGAGCAAUCCUCGAGAGUGGCGAACGGGUGAGUAAUAUAUCGGAACGUGCCCAGUCGUGGGGGAUAACGUAGAGAAAUUUACGCUAAUACCGCAUACGAUCUAAGGAUGAAAGCGGGGGACUCGCAAGGGCCUCGCGCGAUUGGAGCGGCUGAUAUCAGAUUAGGUUGUUGGUGAGGUAAAAGCUCACCAAGCCGACGAUCUGUAGCUGGUUUGAGAGAACGACCAGCCACACUGGGACUGAGACACGGCCCAGACUCCUACGGGAGGCAGCAGUGGGGAAUUUUGGACAAUGGGCGAAAGCCUGAUCCAGCAAUGCCGCGUGCAGGAAGAAGGCCUUCGGGUUGUAAACUGCUUUUGUACGGAACGAAACGGUUCUUUCUAAUAAAGAGGGCUAAUGACGGUACCGUAAGAAUAAGCACCGGCUAACUACGUGCCAGCAGCCGCGGUAAUACGUAGGGUGCGAGCGUUAAUCGGAAUUACUGGGCGUAAAGCGUGCGCAGGCGGUUCCAUAAGACAGAUGUGAAAUCCCCGGGCUCAACCUGGGAAUGGCAUUUGUGACUGUAGAGCUAGAGUACGGUAGAGGGGGAUGGAAUUCCGCGUGUAGCAGUGAAAUGCGUAGAUAUGCGGAGGAACACCGAUGGCGAAGGCAAUCCCCUGGACCUGUACUGACGCUCAUGCACGAAAGCGUGGGGAGCAAACAGGAUUAGAUACCCUGGUAGUCCACGCCCUAAACGAUGUCAACUGGUUGUUGGGUGCAUUAGUACUCAGUAACGAAGCUAACGCGUGAAGUUGACCGCCUGGGGAGUACGGCCGCAAGGUUGAAACUCAAAUGAAUUGACGG
rnacentral:rRNA from 1 species